rnacentral:antisense_RNA from 1 species
CUUGACCGACCCCAGCCAGAGCGGCCGGUCGACCGGGCGCUCGCGGCCGUAGGUGGCGAGCAGCGCCUGGGCCUC